CCUACGGGAGGCAGCAGUGAGGAAUUUUCCGCAAUGGGCGAAAGCCUGACGGAGCAAUACCGCGUGAGGGAUGAAGGAUUUUGGUCUGUAAACCUCUUUUCUCAAGAAAGAAGUUCUGACGGUACUUGAGGAAUAAGCAUCGGCUAACUCCGUGCCAGCAGCCGCGGUAAUACGGGGGAUGCAAGCGUUAUCCGGAAUGAUUGGGCGUAAAGCGCCUGUAGGUUGUUUAUUACGUCCGUUGUUAAAGCCUAGGGCUUAACCCUAGAAAAGCAAUGGAAACUAGUAGACUAGAGUAUGGCAGGGGUAGAGGGAAUUUCUAGUGUAGCGGUGAAAUGCGUAGAUAUUAGAAAGAACACCGGUGGCGAAAGCGCUCUACUGGACCAUUACUGACACUCAGAGGCGAAAGCUAGGGUAGCAAAAGGGAUUAGAUACCCCUGUAGUCCUAGCCGUAAACGAUGGAUACUAGAUGUUGUGCAUUAUGUACAGUAUCGUAGCUAACGCGUUAAGUAUCCCGCCUGGGGAGUACGCUCGCAAGGGUGAAACUCAAAUGAAUUGACGG
rnacentral:rRNA from 1 species